rnacentral:rRNA from 1 species
AGAGUUUGAUCAUGGCUCAGAUUGAACGCUGGCGGCAGGCCUAACACAUGCAAGUCGGGCGGUAACAGGGAGAAGCUUGCUUCUCUGCUGACGAGCGGCGGACGGGUGAGUAAUGUAUGGGGAUCUGCCCGAUAGAGGGGGAUAACUACUGGAAACGGUAGCUAAUACCGUAUAAUGUCGCGAGACCAAAGUGUGGGACUUUCGGGCCACAUGCCAUUUGAUGAACCCAUAUGGGAUUAGCUAGUAGGUGGGGUAAUGGCUCACCUAGGCGACGAUCUCUAGCUGGUCUGAGAGGAUGAUCAGCCACACUGGGACUGAGACACGGCCCAGACUCCUACGGGAGGCAGCAGUGGGGAAUAUUGCACAAUGGGCGCAAGCCUGAUGCAGCCAUGCCGCGUGUAUGAAGAAGGCCUUAGGGUUGUAAAGUACUUUCAGUUGGGAGGAAGGCGUUGAUGCUAAUAUCAUCAACGAUUGACGUUACCAACAGAAGAAGCACCGGCUAACUCCGUGCCAGCCGCCGCGGUAAUUC